GCCCGCCUAGCUCAAUCGGAUAGAGCGUCAGACUCUUAUUCGUCUACAACCUUGUAGUGCUGGCGAUCUGAAGGCUGGGGGUUCGACCCCCCCGGUGGGCU